AGAGUUUGAUCCUGGCUCAGGACGAACGCUGGCGGCGCGCCUAACACAUGCAAGUCGAACGAGAGAUGAGGAGCUUGCUCUUCAAAUCGAGUGGCGAACGGGUGAGUAACGCGUGAGGAACCUGCCUCAAAGAGGGGGACAACAGUUGGAAACGACUGCUAAUACCGCAUAAGCCCACGGCUCGGCAUCGAGCAGAGGGAAAAGGAGCAAUCCGCUUUGAGAUGGCCUCGCGUCCGAUUAGCUAGUUGGUGAGGUAACGGCCCACCAAGGCGACGAUCGGUAGCCGGACUGAGAGGUUGAACGGCCACAUUGGGACUGAGACACGGCCCAGACUCCUACGGGAGGCAGCAGUGGGGAAUAUUGCACAAUGGGGGAAACCCUGAUGCAGCGACGCCGCGUGGAGGAAGAAGGUCUUCGGAUUGUAAACUCCUGUUGUUGAGGAAGAUAAUGACGGUACUCAACAAGGAAGUGACGGCUAACUACGUGCCAGCAGCCGCGGUAAAACGUAGGUCACAAGCGUUGUCCGGAAUUACUGGGUGUAAAGGGAGCGCAGGCGGGAGAACAAGUUGGAAGUGAAAUCCAUGGGCUCAACCCAUGAACUGCUUUCAAAACUGUUUUUCUUGAGUAGUGCAGAGGUAGGCGGAAUUCCCGGUGUAGCGGUGGAAUGCGUAGAUAUCGGGAGGAACACCAGUGGCGAAGGCGGCCUACUGGGCACCAACUGACGCUGAGGCUCGAAAGUGUGGGUAGCAAACAGGAUUAGAUACCCUGGUAGUCCACACCGUAAACGAUGAUUACUAGGUGUUGGAGGAUUGACCCCUUCAGUGCCGCAGUUAACACAAUAAGUAAUCCACCUGGGGAGUACGACCGCAAGGUUGAAACUCAAAGGAAUUGACGGGGGCCCGCACAAGCAGUGGAGUAUGUGGUUUAAUUCGACGCAACGCGAAGAACCUUACCAAGUCUUGACAUCCCUUGACGAUGCUGGAAACAGUAUUUCUCUUCGGAGCAAGGAGACAGGUGGUGCAUGGUUGUCGUCAGCUCGUGUCGUGAGAUGUUGGGUUAAGUCCCGCAACGAGCGCAACCCUUAUGGUCAGUUACUACGCAAGAGGACUCUGGCCAGACUGCCGUUGACAAAACGGAGGAAGGUGGGGAUGACGUCAAAUCAUCAUGCCCUUUAUGACUUGGGCUACACACGUACUACAAUGGCGUUAAACAUAGAGAAGCAAGACCGCGAGGUGGAGCAAAACUCAGAAACAACGUCCCAGUUCGGACUGCAGGCUGCAACUCGCCUGCACGAAGUCGGAAUUGCUAGUAAUCGUGGAUCAGCAUGCCACGGUGAAUACGUUCCCGGGCCUUGUACACACCGCCCGUCA
rnacentral:rRNA from 1 species